UGAGGAAUAUUGGUCAAUGGGCGAGAGCCUGAACCAGCCAAGUAGCGUGAAGGAUGACUGCCCUAUGGGUUGUAAACUUCUUUUAUAAAGGAAUAAAGUCGGGUAUGGAUACCCGUUUGCAUGUACUUUAUGAAUAAGGAUCGGCUAACUCCGUGCCAA
rnacentral:rRNA from 1 species